AGGGGCAUAGUUCAAGGGUAGAACAGUGGUCUCCAAAACCAUCGAUGAGAGUUCGAAUCUUUCUGCCCCUG
rnacentral:tRNA from 1 species